GGAAGAAAUGACAAGUGCUCUUGCAACCAUGAGAAUGGACUACAAGCAAAUCAAAGCCAUUGAAGAGUCGACCAAUCCACUGCUCACACGGCCACCAGGGGAUUACCUUGCCCUAACAAUAUCUGGAAUUCUGGUGACGAUAACCACGUUCAAAAUGGGGCAGCAGAGAGGAAAAUAAAUGAAAGAGAUGAAGAAGGUACAACAAUGAUGAGACAGUGUACUACAAACUCCACCAAACAGUAGGGGU